rnacentral:rRNA from 1 species
UACGUAGGGUGCAAGCGUUGUCCGGAAUUAUUGGGCGUAAAGAGCUCGUAGGCGGUUUGUCGCGUCUGCUGUGAAAACGCGAGGCUCAACCUCGCGCCUGCAGUGGGUACGGGCAGACUAGAGUGCGGUAGGGGAGAUUGGAAUUCCUGGUGUAGCGGUGGAAUGCGCAGAUAUCAGGAGGAACACCGAUGGCGAAGGCAGAUCUCUGGGCCGUUACUGACGCUGAGGAGCGAAAGCGUGGGAGCGAACAGG